GUGGGGAAUAUUGGACAAUGGGCGAAAGCCUGAUCCAGCCAUGCCGCGUGUGUGAAGAAGGUCUUCGGAUUGUAAAGCACUUUAAGUUGGGAGGAAGGGUAGUAACCUAAUACGUUGCUACUUUGACGUUACCGACAGAAUAAGCACCGGCUAACUUCGUGCCAGCAGCCGCGGUAAUACGAAGGGUGCAAGCGUUAAUCGGAAUUACUGGGCGUAAAGCGCGCGUAGGUGGUUCAGUAAGUUGGAAGUGAAAUCCCCGGGCUCAACCUGGGAACUGCUUUCAAAACUGCUGAGCUAGAGUACGGUAGAGGGUGGUGGAAUUUCCUGUGUAGCGGUGAAAUGCGUAGAUAUAGGAAGGAACACCAGUGGCGAAGGCGACCACCUGGACUGAUACUGACACUGAGGUGCGAAAGCGUGGGGAGCAAACAGGAUUAGAAACCCUAGUAGUCC
rnacentral:rRNA from 1 species